UCCCCUAGUAACGGCGAGUGAAGCGGGAAGAGCCCAGCACCGAAUCCCCUCGCCGAAAGGCAGUGGGAACUGUGGUGUAUAGGACAGCCUCUGCGAUGUCGUUCGGUCGUCUAAGUCCCCCGGAUCGGGGCUUGCCCAUAGCGGGUGUAAGGCCUGUACGGCCGCCGUUCGCUUCGCUCUGAGCGUCCUGGGAGUCGGGUUGUUUGUGAAUGCAGCCCAAAGCGGGUGGUAAACUCCAUCUAAGGCUAAAUACAGACACGAGUCCGAUAGC
rnacentral:rRNA from 1 species